rnacentral:rRNA from 1 species
AGAGUUUGAUCCUGGCUCAGGAUGAACGCUGGCGGCGUGCCUAAUACAUGCAAGUCGAGCGAACGGACGAGAAGCUUGCUUCUCUGAUGUUAGCGGCGGACGGGUGAGUAACACGUGGAUAACCUACCUAUAAGACUGGGAUAACUUCGGGAAACCGGAGCUAAUACCGGAUAAUAUUUUGAACCGCAUGGUUCAAAAGUGAAAGACGGUCUUGCUGUCACUUAUAGAUGGAUCCGCGCUGCAUUAGCUAGUUGGUAAGGUAACGGCUUACCAAGGCAACGAUGCAUAGCCGACCUGAGAGGGUGAUCGGCCACACUGGAACUGAGACACGGUCCAGACUCCUACGGGAGGCAGCAGUAGGGAAUCUUCCGCAAUGGGCGAAAGCCUGACGGAGCAACGCCGCGUGAGUGAUGAAGGUCUUCGGAUCGUAAAACUCUGUUAUUAGGGAAGAACAUAUGUGUAAGUAACUGUGCACAUCUUGACGGUACCUAAUCAGAAAGCCACGGCUAACUACGUGCCAGCAGCCGCGGUAAUACGUAGGUGGCAAGCGUUAUCCGGAAUUAUUGGGCGUAAAGCGCGCGUAGGCGGUUUUUUAAGUCUGAUGUGAAAGCCCACGGCUCAACCGUGGAGGGUCAUUGGAACUGGAAAACUUGAGUGCAGAAGAGGAAAGUGGAAUUCCAUGUGUAGCGGUGAAAUGCGCAGAGAUAUGGAGGAACACCAGUGGCGAAGGCGACUUUCUGGUCUGUAACUGACGCUGAUGUGCGAAAGCGUGGGGAUCAAACAGGAUUAGAUACCCUGGUAGUCCACGCCGUAAACGAUGAGUGCUAAGUGUUAGGGGGUUUCCGCCCCUUAGUGCUGCAGCUAACGCAUUAAGCACUCCGCCUGGGGAGUACGACCGCAAGGUUGAAACUCAAAGGAAUUGACGGGGACCCGCACAAGCGGUGGAGCAUGUGGUUUAAUUCGAAGCAACGCGAAGAACCUUACCAAAUCUUGACAUCCUUUGACAACUCUAGAGAUAGAGCCUUCCCCUUCGGGGGACAAAGUGACAGGUGGUGCAUGGUUGUCGUCAGCUCGUGUCGUGAGAUGUUGGGUUAAGUCCCGCAACGAGCGCAACCCUUAAGCUUAGUUGCCAUCAUUAAGUUGGGCACUCUAAGUUGACUGCCGGUGACAAACCGGAGGAAGGUGGGGAUGACGUCAAAUCAUCAUGCCCCUUAUGAUUUGGGCUACACACGUGCUACAAUGGACAAUACAAAGGGCAGCGAAACCGCGAGGUCAAGCAAAUCCCAUAAAGUUGUUCUCAGUUCGGAUUGUAGUCUGCAACUCGACUACAUGAAGCUGGAAUCGCUAGUAAUCGUAGAUCAGCAUGCUACGGUGAAUACGUUCCCGGGUCUUGUACACACCGCCGUCACACCACGAGAGUUUGUAACACCCGAAGCCGGUGGAGUAACCUUUUAGGAGCUAGCCGUCGAAGGUGGGACAAAUGAUUGGGGUGAAGUCGUAACAAGGUAGCCGUAUCGGAAGGUGCGGCUGGAUCACCU